rnacentral:rRNA from 1 species
UACGUAGGGCGCAAGCGUUGUCCGGAAUUAUUGGGCGUAAAGAGCUCGUAGGCGGCUUGUCACGUCGGGUGUGAAAGCCCGGGGCUUAACCCCGGGUCUGCAUUCGAUACGGGCUAGCUAGAGUGUGGUAGGGGAGAUCGGAAUUCCUGGUGUAGCGGUGAAAUGCGCAGAUAUCAGGAGGAACACCGGUGGCGAAGGCGGAUCUCUGGGCCAGCACUGACGCUCAUGCACGAAAGCGUGGGGAGCAAACAGG